UCUGUGUGUGUUUAGAUAAGGGGAUCUCAAACUGGGAGGUUGGGACCCACAGGGGGUCAUGAGGCUAUUACAUGAGGGGCCAUGAGCUGUCAGCCUCCACCCCAGACUCCGCUUUGCCUCCAGCAUUUAUAAUGAUGUUAAAUACAUAAGUGUUUAAUUUAUA